CAGCCGCCGCGGUAAUACGGGGGGAGCAAGCGUUGUUCGGAUUUACUGGGCGUAAAGGGCGCGUAGGCGGCCACCGCAAGUCGACUGUGAAAUCUCCGGGCUUAACCCGGAAAGGUCAGCCGAUACUGCGGGGCUAGAGUGCAGAAGGGGCAACUGGAAUUCUCGGUGUAGCGGUGAAAUGCGUAGAUAUCGAGAGGAACACCUGCGGCGAAGGCGGGUUGCUGGGCUGACACUGACGCUGAGGCGCGAAAGCUAGGGGAGCGAACGGG
rnacentral:rRNA from 1 species